UUGCGGUUUCAGCAUUUGACAAGGUCUGUUCGAAAACAUGAGGCUCUUAUAUUGCCCGGCUUUCUCUCAGCCCCUUUGCCUUCACCGUCUCUCUCCUCCUCCUUCGGUCGUCGCACCAUUUUUGGCCACUGCGAGCUUAAUAAGGUACGAAGCUUCUCUCUUCCUCUCAGUUUCGAGACAUGCAAAGUUUUCAUAUGCCCAUGCCGAUCGAUGGUGGUCAAUCCACCAUGAAUUGAUCCCAUUCGGCUCGAGGUAUGCUGCUCUCCAGUCCUGGUUCUUUCUCCAAGAUAUCUG
rnacentral:lncRNA from 1 species